UGCGGCUUUUAGGAAGAAUGUAGUGGACUAAUGCUGAUCGUUUAAUUGACGUAAUCAGUGAACAUGAGAUGUAGCUGCUCCGCCGGCCUCUGAUGCUAACACGUUUCGACCGCGUCAUGAAUGUGGAGUCAGGAAGUGGCACCAGUAACGGAGGAGAUGUGAGAAGCUCGGCUCAGACGGUACAGCGUGUGAUGUGAGGCGAGGACCCGGGUGGAAAGUGAUCAAACGUUCCUCAGUGUCACAGAUGGACGGAAGUGGAGGAAGGCGUGUGAACGAGCGGAUCGACACAGGAUGAACACUAGGAAAGAGAAUCAGUGAAUCCUGAUCUGUUUAUGAAGGUUGCAGUGUAUCCGACAGGGCAGGAACCUUCCUUCCGGACAGGGUACCAGUCCACCGCAGGGCUUCGGCCGAACCACCCGAGCACCGAACGUUCUGCUAAUAAAUAAAAACUGCAGCAAAG